rnacentral:rRNA from 1 species
UACGUAGGGGGCAAGCGUUGUCCGGAAUCAUUGGGCGUAAAGCGCGCGUAGGCGGCCCGGUAAGUCCGCUGUAAAAGUCAAAGGCUCAACCUUUGAAUGCCGGUGGAUACUGUCGGGCUAGAGUCCGGAAGAGGCGAGUGGAAUUCCUGGUGUAGCGGUGGAAUGCGCAGAUAUCAGGAGGAACACCGAUGGCGAAGGCAGGUCUCUGGGCCACUACUGACGCUGAGAAGCGAAAGCAUGGGGAGCGAACAGG